CCUACGGGUGGCAGCAGUGAGGAAUAUUGGUCAAUGGGCGAGAGCCUGAACCAGCCAAGUCGCGUGAAGGAUGAAGGAUCUAUGGUUUGUAAACUUCUUUUAUAUGGGAAUAAAGUGAGGAACGUGUUCCUUUUUGUAUGUACCAUAUGAAUAAGCAACGGCUAACUCCGUGCCAGCAGCCGCGGUAAUACGGAGGAUGCGAGAGUUAUCCGGAUUUAUUGUGUUUAAAGGGUGCGUAGGUGGUUAAUUAAGUCAGCGGUGAAAGUUUGUGGCUCAACCAUAAAAUGGCCGUUGAAACUGGUUGACUUGAGUAUAUAUGAGGUAGGCGGAAUGCGUGGUGUAGCGGUGAAAUGCAUAGAUAUCACGCAGAACUCCGAUUGCGAAGGCAGCCUGCUGGACUGUAACUGACGCUGAUGCUCGAAAGUGUGGGUAUCAAACAGGAUUAGAUACCCGUGUAGUC
rnacentral:rRNA from 1 species